AGCAGCAUAUCGCAGUAAGGAACAACCUGCUCCAGUAUGACUUCUUAACUAAUUACAUCUUCAAUGACCCUAUUUCCAAAUAUGAUCCAAAAAGUACCAGGGGGUGAGGACUUCAACUUGUCUUUCUGGGGAAUAUCAUGAUUCAACUUAUAACAACUAUACUCCUACUUCAGAGCAUAUUUCUGAUUAUUAUGGAAACUUGCCGUGUUCCCUGUGGGGAUAAAAAAAGAAAAAAGAAACAGAUUUAAAGGCCCCAUUUCAUUAUGCAUAAUCCAGUAGCUGCAUUGUUGGAUUCCGUGGCAUUGUUGGAGAAGGUCAUCAAGAGGACACAUGAUCCACCAGUUGACUCAGGAGCUACACUUGGGCAUUCGGAGACUCCCCGCCCCCUCCCAUGUUCUUUGAAUGUGCAUUCUGCCCACUGUUCCUCAUCUUUUGGUCACCCAAGAUAAGCCUUAUGAAGAGACAGAAGGAUUAAGGAUCUCAUUAAAGUUUUUGGAACUAAUAAGUGGCCAGCUGAAAUUUGAACCCAGGGAAUUUCACAAAACGAGCCUGACUUUCUUAACUGCUAGGCUGUACUAUACGAUUCUUAAUUUACCAUUACACUCUCUCCCUGUGUGAAGGACUGUGGACCAUGAACAAUUUGCCAUCUGAAUGGAUGUGAGGUAGAGGAAUGAUGACUCUUAAUGACCUUACUCAUAUAGAAGUGAUGCUUUUCGUGAUCAUGGCAGAGGGUCAGAUGCUGAACUGAAGUGGAAGGACAGAGUGAGAGAGUCUCAGGAAGUAACUGUCUGUGGUAUCGCCUGAGGAAGAAAGGGGCCUGAGCGGCUGCCAGGAAAGCCAGCUUGUUCUGUGCAGGAUCAGUUGGUGUACUGGAAACAGCCAUAACACUUUUCCUAGGAGUCUCUCAGACUUUCACUAACCCUGAAACGAAGCCUUCGGUUUCUUACAGAUAUUUUCCUGCUUUGAUCCUCUCUCUAGCUGCCUUUUGAAGGAGUUCAGUUACCCCCCCCCCCCCCCCCCCCCCGCCACCCCAUCCAGUGACUCCUCUGUGUUAGCUCUUCCUUAACCGAACCAAACCAAACCUCGAGACUGCAGACCAGCUCUGCUCCCUGCCUGCAACACAGGCUUAUAUUUUUGGAUCCAGGAUGUCCUGUGGAUUGGACGGCUGCCAGGCCUUCAGAUGCUUGGCGUCUGGGAUGGCGUGCGAUGACGUCGGGCUGACUUCUAGGGACCCUGCGCCUCUGCUGUUGUUUACCAGCUUCAAGUUCCAUCUGGUCUUGCUGACAGGAACCUUGACACCAUCUGCAAAAAUUGGAAUAAAACAGUUUUGGUCUGAAGGAAAGGAAAAUUGCACGUUGAAGCUUAUUUGGGAAAUGUCAUCUUCACUGCUUUGGAAGGAAAAAUAGAAGGGGCUGUUUGUUAAUAUACGUUCAUGUAUUUGGUGAACUUCUUACAUGGACACGUCUAUAGGUGUGACCUUUGGGUGUACUGGCUCUUUUUCUCUUCGAUCUGGUAAACAGAGACUGCAGGAAAUCUGCAGGAUUCCGGGAUGGGCUUUGAUGAUGAAUCGACACGCGGUUAGUGUUUAUACCUAUCAAGGCCACCUCUUAACACCGUAGUUGGGGUCAAUGUGCUUUGCUGGUGAUCAUGGCAUGUAAGAAUUAUAGUCAUGCGCUUCUCUUAUUAUUACCCAAAGGGUUCACUUGUGUAUGACAUAAACCUCCACAGUUUCCUGUCAUCUCACCCAGGACAAGGGGGUCAUAAUAACAUCCCAGUAAGGGCUGAAAUUGACACAGGGCUCAGGGCCCAGUGUUGCUCUGAACACUUUACAAAUAUGAACUUCAUUCUCACAGCCACCCUAAAGGGUGCUGUUUGCUGUGUUUGUAAGCACUGUGUUCCAGCCCCCCUACUGACGACAUUGCCUAAGUUAUCCUAUUUAAUCCUCAGAAUGAUCCUAGGAAGUAGGACCUUUAUUAUUCUCAUGUUGUGUGUGGGACACGGAAGUUCAGAGAGAGGAAACUAGCAGUUCAAGGCUGUGUGGUUCGUCAGUCUUGUGUGUGUUUGGGGUUUAUACCCGGGCUGGAGUCCACACUCUUGAGCAAUAUACUUAGACCUCCUGCAUCUGAUUUUGUUCUUGAAGCAACUUGGGAAGUAGGCCAGACAGGUAUAAUUUUCUUCCCUUUAUUACAAUCCAGUAAAAUGAAGCCCAGCGAGUGGAAAUGACUUUUCUGUGACCACAGAACUCAUUCGUGUGUAUUUAUAAAUAGCAGAACUGGUGAUUAUUGGGAAGCCUUGCUGCGGAAACCAAGCGACCUUUGAGGCUGUUUUGGUCUGUGCAAAGAGCAGUGGGCUUGGAGUUAAGAGAUGUGGGUUUAAAUCCCGAGGCUUCUAGCUACUUGACCUUGAGAAUUCAGCUUCUGAGGCUUUGUGUCUGCACUCAGAAAACGGGAGAAGUAAUUCCUCCUUCACGCGGUGUGUGAGGAUGAUAAUAAAGUAAUUACAUGCCCACCCCAGUAGUUGUUUAAUAUAUGUUCUUAAAAUUGCCCACAUAAGUCAUCAAAGGGUAGAGCCAUGGAUUGAGGGAUGGACAUGGAGACAAAGGACGUUUGGCUCCUCAUACCCUCACGGGCAUGUGGAAAUGAGUCCUACACGUGGGGAGGAACUUCCAGAGAAGUCUGCAGUGGGUGGGCAGGACUUUCUCCACCUCUGAACACGGACAGAAUGCCUGCUCUAGGUUAUUGAAGAAUUUGGACUUUAUAUAGGUGUGGCAGCUUUGCUUUUAUGAUAUGUUUUAUGGUAAAAACUGACUACAGUGCUCCUAUGUAGCAAGGAACACCUUGAGACAAAGUUUUUUUCUGAUAGUCCAUUAAGUACAGUUAUGUAAAUGCAAUGAUUUUACAAAUAGAAUCAUUGUCUCAGUUACAGUGAUGCCUUGAUCAGAGUGGUUUUAGGGUCUUAUCUUAGGUGAAUUUGAAAUGUUGGGCUUUUCUUAAUCAUCCCAGCAGGAAGUAAUUUCCCACCCAAAUGAUGAAUGAUGAAUGAUGCCUGAACUUAUCAUCCAUGCCAUUUCUUGGAAUGUAGCAUUUCUGGUUUGAAAAUGAUUACUUGUGUAUUUUUUCUCUUCAGAUUGAGA